rnacentral:rRNA from 1 species
CCUACGGGGGGCAGCAGUGAGGAAUAUUGGUCAAUGGACGAGAGUCUGAACCAGCCAAGUAGCGUGAAGGAUGACUGCCCUAUGGGUUGUAAACUUCUUUUAUAAAGGAAUAAAACGAGGCACGUGUGCCUUUUUGCAUGUACUUUAUGAAUAAGGAUCGGCUGACUCCGUGCCAGCAGCCGCGGUAAUACGGAGGAUCCGAGCGUUAUCCGGAUUUAUUGGGUUUAAAGGGAGCGUAGAUGGGUUGUUACGUCAGUUGUGAAAGUUUGCGGCUCAACCGUAAAAUUGCAAUUGAUACUGGCAGUCGUGAGUACAGUUGAGGUAAGCGGAAGUCGUGGUGUAGCGGUGAAAUGCUUAGAUAUCACGAAGAACCCCGAUUGCGAAGGCAGCUUACUAAACUGUGACUGACAUUGAUGCUCGAAAGUGUGGGUAUCAAACAGGAUUAGAUACCCUUGUAGUC